UUAGGCUACAAAAUCAAGAAACCUAAAUUGAGAAGGAAACCGGGUAGACCAAGAAUAUCUAGAAUAAAGUCAUAUGAUGAGGCUGGCACUAGCAAAAAGAGGAAGCCAUGUUCUGAAUGUAAUGAACUAGGCCACAUAGCCAAGCAUUGCCAAGGAGGUCUCACUGCUAGUCAAAAGAGGAAGCUUUCAGCUUCACAAACCUCAGGUGCAAGUGCAACAGAAAAAGGGAGAGGGAGGGGAAGAGGAAGGAGAAAUCCAAGUGAAACUCAAGUUCAAACAGAAAUUGCUAGAGGAGGGAGGGGAAGAGGAAGAGGAAGAGCAAGAGGAAGAGGAAGAGGAAAUCUAAGUGAAAAUGAAUUUGGAACCGAAAAUGCUAGAGGAGGAAGGGGAAAAGGAAGAAGGGGAGGAAGAAGGGGAGGAAGAAGGGGAGGAUCAGGAGGGCGAUUGGCUCAAUUAUUAGGAAUAGAUGCAUGAAUGUGAUGCAGCCACCUCUCAUCAUGUAAUAUACCAGUCGCUUUUGUUGGACACCUAUGUUGGGAUGUGAUCUCAUGGUGCUUC